CCUACGGGUGGCAGCAGUGGGGGAUAUUGCACAAUGGGGGGAACCCUGAUGCAGCGACGCCGCGUGGGUGAAGGAGUGCUUCGGCAUGUAAAGCCCUAUCGGCAGGGAAGAAGCAAGACGGUACCUGACUAAGAAGCCCCGCCUACCUCGGUGCACGCAGCCGCGGUAAUACGUAGGGGGCGAGCGUUAUCCGGAUUCACUGGGGGGAAGGGGAGCGUAGACGGCCAUGCACGCCAGGGGUGAACGCCCGGGGCCCAACCCCGGGAAUGCCCUUGGAACUGCAUGGCUGGAGUGCGGGAGGGGCAGGCGGAAGUCCUGGUGUAGCGGUGAAAUGCGUAGAUAUCAGGAGGAACACCGGCGGCGAAGGCGGCCGGCUGGACCGCGACUGACGUUGAGGCUCGAAAGCGUGGGGAGCGAACAGGAUUAGAUACACUUGGAGUC
rnacentral:rRNA from 1 species